rnacentral:rRNA from 1 species
AUUGAACGCUGGCGGCAGGCCUAACACAUGCAAGUCGAACGAGUGGCGGACGGGUGAGUAAUGUCUGGGAAACUGCCCGAUGGAGGGGGAUAACUACUGGAAAAGGUAGAUAAUACCGCAUACCAUCGGAUGUGCCCAGAUGGGAUUAGCUUGUAGGUGAGGUAACGGCUCACCUAGGCGACGAUCCCUAGCUGUUCUGAGAGGAUGACCAGCCACACGGGAACGGCUGCACGUUCCAGACGCCUACGGGGGGCAUCAGUGGGGAAUAUUGCACAAUGGGCGAAAUCCUGAUGCAGCCAUGCGGCGUGUAUGAGGAAGGCCUUCUGGUUGUAAAGUCCUUUCAGCGGGGAGGCGUUACCCGCAGAAGAAGCACCGGCUAACUCCGUGCCAGCAGCCGCGGUAAUAC